UUGAAAUCUGGCGUCUUUGGCGUCCGAGUUGUAAUUUGAAGAAGGUAUCUUUGGGCCCGGCUCUUGUCCAUGUUCCUUGGAACAGGACGUCACAGAGGGUGAGAAUCCCGUGCGAUGAGAUGACCCGGGUCUGUGUAAAGUUCCUUCGACGAGUCGAGUUGUUUGGGAAUGCAGCUCUAAGUGGGUGGUAAAUUCCAUCUAAAGCUAAAUAUUGGCGAGAGACCGAUAGCGAACAAGUACAGUGAUGGAAAGAUGAAAAGAACUUUGAAAAGAGAGUGAAAAAGUACGUGAAAUUGUUGAAAGGGAAGGGCUUGAGAUCAGACUUGGUAUUUUGCAUGCUGCUCUCUCGGGGGCGGCCGCUGCGGUUUACCGGGCCAGCAUCGGUUUGAAGCGGCAGGAUAAUGGCGGAGGAAUGUGGCACGGCUUCUGCUGUGUGUUAUAGCCUCUGACGAUGCUGCCAGCCUA
rnacentral:rRNA from 1 species